rnacentral:sRNA from 1 species
AAAAAAAUUGAUUUUCAGACUCUCGGAACCAAAGAGUGAAAGAAUGAUGGCAUCACUAUGUUCACUUCUUGCUGGAUCUGUCGUAGAGUCAAUGAGUACAGGUGGACCAUGAAUGUUGGAAAAUAACUUUCAGUCAAGUUGAGACAAGUGCUCCAUUGAUGUUAUUGUUCUUUUUUAUUGGCAUUGAAUUGAUCAAACUGAACAUGUUCUAGAGAUACUGGAGAAAAGAUUUGACUGCAGUACACUCAUUUUCAAUUGAAAGCAAUUAAAAGAAGCUGAGAUAAAUACAACCAGGAUUGGGUAUGAAGCAAAUUUCUCAAUGGCAAAUGAUGUAUCACUGUUGGAAAUAGAAGUGAAACUGAAGAAUGAAGAUUCUCAUGAAAAUUUGGUCUAUCCAGUGAAAACAGCAUUAAGAGAACAAUAGUAUGGAUUAUAACUUGGCUGGACUGGACAUGGCUCAAACAGAAAAUAAAUGUAUUGAAUUUUCAAUCCAAAUUAUGGAUGUUAGACUAUUCAAGUGAGUUACCCAAGUCUGUCAAAUAACUUAGAGAAAGUAUUUGAACUUGGCUACUAAAUACAUGUGAUGGCACAGAACUCAUAAAAAAAGAAGGAUGAUGGCUUCAGUGUUUAUAUUGCUAACAUUUCACAAAUUUGUUACAGGUAGCUUAUUUUUGUUUUGGUCACUUUUUGUU